AACAGGUUCAAAUGGGGUCUAUUCGUCAGUCAAAACGUUAAUCUUGAAGGAGCAAAAGUUUUUUCAUGAGCUGUCAUGCUCGCUAGGCGUGCAGAAUGGGUCGCUUAGCGAGUCCCAAGAAAAGCCACCAGAAUCACCUACACUCAGAGGAAUUUCUUGAACUGUGAUGCUCGCUAGGCGAAGCCCACGUGUUAAAAAAAAACGAAAAAUGAAAAAAAAAUGUUAAAAAAAAAAACGAAAAUAUAAAUAAAUAAAUAAAUAAAAUAUAAC
rnacentral:lncRNA from 1 species